GGGUAUGUAGCUCAAUUGGUUAGAGCAUUAGACUGUGGAUCUAAGGGUUGCGGGUUCGAGCCCCGUCAUGCCCC
rnacentral:tRNA from 3 species